rnacentral:rRNA from 1 species
GCAGGGAAUAUUGCGCAAUGGGCGAAAGCCUGACGCAGCGACGCCGCGUGGGGGAUGAAGGCCUUCGGGUUGUAAACCCCUUUUCUCAGGGAAGAAUAAUGACGGUACCUGAGGAAUAAGCCUCGGCUAACUACGUGCCAGCAGCCGCGGUAAUACGUAGGAGGCGAGCGUUAUCCGGAUUUACUGGGCGUAAAGAGGGUGUAGGCGGUCCUUCAAGUCGGUUGUGAAAUCUCCUGGCUCAACUGGGAGGAGUCAUCCGAUACUGUUGGACUAGAGGACAGCAGAGGGAGGUGGAAUUCCCGGUGUAGUGGUGAAAUGCGUAGAUAUCGGGAGGAACACCAGUGGCGAAAGCGGCCUCCUGGGCUGUUUCUGACGCUGAGGCCCGAAAGCGUGGGGAGCGAACAGGAUUAGAAACCCUUGUAGUCC